rnacentral:rRNA from 1 species
CCUACGGGUGGCAGCAGUGAGGAAUAUUGGUCAAUGGCCGCGAGCCUGAACCAGCCAAGUCGCGUGAAGGAUGACUGCCCUACGGUUUGUAAACUUCUUUUAUAAGGGAAUAAAGUUAGCCACGUGUGCAUAUUUGUAUGUACUUUAUGAAUAAGCAUCGGCUAACUCCGUGCCAGCAGCCGCGGUAAUACGGAGGAUGCGAGCGUUAUCCGGAUUUAUUGGGUUUAAAGGGUGCGUAGAUGGGUUGUUAAGUCAGUUGUGAAAGUUUGCGGCUCAACCGUAAAAUUGCAGUUGAAACUGGAAGACUUGAGUAUGGUUGAGGUAGGCGGAAUGCGUGGUGUAGCGGUGAAAUGCAUAGAUAUCACGCAGAACUCCGAUUGCGAAGGCAGCUUACUAAGCCGUAACUGACACUGAUGCACGAAAGCGUGGGGAUCAAACAGGAUUAGAUACCCUGGUAGUC